rnacentral:rRNA from 1 species
UGAGGAAUAUUGGACAAUGGGCGCAAGCCUGAUCCAGCCAUGCCGCGUGCAGGAAGAAGCAUCUAUGGUGUGUAAACUGCUUUUGUACGGGAAGAAACACUCCUUCGUGAAGGAGCUCGACGGUACCGUAAGAAUAAGGAUCGGCUAACUCCGUGCCAGCAGCCGCGGUAAUACGGAGGAUCCAAGCGUUAUCCGGAAUCAUUGGGUUUAAAGGGUCCGUAGGCGGUUUAGUAAGUCAGUGGUGAAAGCCCAUCGCUCAACGAUGGAACGGCCAUUGAUACUGCUAGACUUGAAUUACAAGGAAGUAACUAGAAUAUGUAGUGUAGCGGUGAAAUGCUUAGAUAUUACAUGGAAUACCAAUUGCGAAGGCAGGUUACUACUUGUGGAUUGACGCUGAUGGACGAAAGCGUGGGGAGCAAACA